AUCACUGUUUCAAAAUCUCAUUUUAUUUCUUACUAUCACAAAGUACAGAAGGUCGUGAUUUUCAAAAUGUGACUAAAUAUCAAUACCAGUCAAGACUCAAAGGGUUGUGUUUUUUUUUUUUUUACACUUAAAUAGAGCUACCUACCCUUCCCAUCCUUUAGUAAAUGCAGUAUACACAAACAUCUAGUAAAAAAAAAAUGUAAUUUUAAUGUUUCUCUUUUCUCUAAAAUGUCACAAUUUUCCUUUUCUAAUGGGAUUCCAAUGAACUGUUAUGCUUCAUUGUCAGUGAAAGUAAUGCUUCACCCUUGUUGCUUGUACAGAGUCGUAUUACUCUACAUAUUUUAGUUAAAUCUAGUUCUUGAAGUAACAAUUAAAUGUAACUCAACCCCUCUACCAGAAAAAAAUAAAACAACAUAUUAUUUCCAAGCUUUAAUGUUUGAUAGUUUGAUAUUAGUUACCCAACAGGACCCCCUAACUCUUGUCACGCAAGCAGUGUCUCACCCUUGUUUCCAGUGCAGAGUCCUA